rnacentral:tRNA from 7 species
GCCUCUAGCCGAGUUGGUUAGGUGGUCUGAUUAACACUCUUCAGGUCUUGGGUUCGACUCCCCGUGGAGCA